GGGCUCUGGUCUAAAGUAGUGUACUAUAUAGGGAAUAUGGCUGUGGUCUAAAGUAGUGUACUAUAUAGGGAAUAGGGCUCUGGUCCAAAGUAGUGCACUAUAUAGGGAAUAGGGCUCUGGUCUAUAGUAGUGUACUAUAUAGGGAAUAGGGCUCUGGUCUAAAGUAGUGCACUAUAUAGGGAAUAGGGCUCUGGUCUAAAGUAGUGCACUAUAUAGGGAAUAGGGCUCUGGUCUAUAGUAGUGCACUAUAUAGGGAAUAGGGCUCUGGUCUAAAGUAGUGCACUAUAUAGGGAAUAGGGCUCUGGUCUAAAGUAGUGUACUAUAUAGGGAAUAGGGCUCUGGUCUAAAGUAGUGUACUAUAUAGGGAAUAGGGCUCUGGUCUAAAGUAGUGCACUAUAUAGGGAAUAGGGCUCUGGUCUAAAGUAGUGCACUAUAUAGGGAAUAGGGCUCUGGUCUAAAGUAGUGCACUAUAUAGGGAAUAGGGCUCUGGUCUAAAGUAGUGUACUAUAUAGGGAAUAGGGCUCUGGUCUAAAGUAGUGCACUAUAUAGGGAAUAGGGCUCUGGUCUAAAGUAGUGCACUAUAUAGGGAAUAGGGCUCUGGUUUAAAGUAGUGCACUAUAUAGGGAAUAGGGCUCUGGUCUAAAGUAGUGUACUAUAUAGGGAAUAGGGUGGCAUUUAGGAUGCACCCUGGCUUUGAGGGAUCGUGAACCUUCCUUCUCAGAAGGAAAAUACCACAUUGACCUAGCAGCUGAAUUUAAAUGAUCAACUAUCAAUUAAGGGCCAACCAUGCUGAAGCAUCAUGUACAAAGAAGGCAACAGUUAGCUAAUGAACACAAACAGCUCGAAGGGAGAAAGAAACAGAAAGAUUCCUUCCUGCUUGCUAUUGUAUAAGGGUUUCUUGUGUCAUCCAGCAUGAGAUGUUUAUUUCCAGGAAGGACAACAACAACAACACUUGUAAAUAAUGUAUUGUAAUAAUUUUAAGCACAAAUGUAAUACAGUUUUAUUGUGUUAACAA